AGUAACGCGUGGGGAACCUACCCUAUACAGGGGGAGUAACAGCUGGAAACGGCUGCUAAUACCGCAUAAGCGCACAGAAUCGCAUGAUUCAGUGUGAAAAGCCCUGGCAGUAUAGGAUGGUCCCGCGUCUGAUUAGCUGGUUGGUGAGGUAACGGCUCACCAAGGCGACGACCAGUAGCCGGCUUGAGAGAGUGAACGGCCACAUUGGGACUGAGACACGGCCCAA
rnacentral:rRNA from 1 species